GUCUCAGUUCGGAUUGGAGUCUGNAACCCGAACCUCCAUGAAGCUGGAUUCGCUAGUAAUCGCGCAUCAGCCACGGCGCGGUGAAUACGUUCCCGGGCCUUGUACACACCGCCCGUCAAGCCAUGGAAGCCGGGAGUGCCUGAAGUGCGUGAGCGCAAGCAGCGCCCUAAGGUAAAACCGGUGACUGGGGCUAAGUCGUAACAAGGUAUC
rnacentral:rRNA from 1 species